rnacentral:lncRNA from 1 species
UAAGUCUUCAACUUCACCUUUAAAGAAAAUUGGAUUAUGACCAUCCUUUUAAUGUCUUAUUAAAAAGGCAAGGAAGAUGGCACUGUUUUAGAAAACUUGAUUCUGGAGAUCAGGAUUUCUCUGAAAAAUUCCUGUAAGGAUUGGUCUUUUUGUAGUUUUGCCCUUUAAUUUAUACAUUAAAAUUCUUGCAAGUGAUUUGGAGGUCAUUUCAUGGUAUCUGAAACCCAAAUAUUGAGAACAAACUAACAUAUACCUGAACUUGAGAGCUUGGAGAGACUAGUUUUUAAGUCUAGGGCAGAUAUACAUAUUUUAUGUACCUUUAAAUCUGAUCUCUCGAGGAGCCAAGAUGGCCGAAUAGGAACAGCUCCGGUCUACAGCUCCCAGCGUGAGCGACACAGAAGACGGGUGAUUUCUGCAUUUCCAUCUGAGAUGAGGAAAUAGAAGUCCAGAGAGUAAAGCAGAUUGCUCAAAGCUAAUAAUGAUGACAGGAAUCAAAGCCAGAGACAGUAAUAAAUAUGGUUGUUUACACCUCUGUACCUCAUAAAGACCUCCAAGCAUUCUGUACACCAGCUCAAGAUGACUUGCUUGAAAUGGAAAAAGGCUGUUUUCAGCAGUAGUUAGCCCCUAUACUGGCAGUGUUUCACAGAAAAGGAAAGUGAAGCUUGGAAAAGUGAAACCACUUGCUCUAAGUGGCAGGAAGAGGUGGCGUUGAACCCCAGGGCUCUUGCAUUCAAAAGCUCUUUUGGAAAGAGAAAAGGAAAAGUGCAGCUGACUGAACUGUGAAGCAAAGGAGCUAAGAAGCCUGGAUGCCAACCCCAAGGGUCCUGAAGAGUCCCAUUGAGGAGCUCCUUACAGCAGAAAGCCCAUUUCUCAGAGGCACAUACAUGGUCCAGAGCCAAGAAGGUCCAGAAAGCAAGACUGCAUCCUUCACCAAGGAAGGUGAUUGUGAUGUGGACACUUCAAGGGGGAACAAAAAAAAAUCUUCCUUUGAAAACCUAACAUUGGCUCUGCCAAUUCAAUUUCACCGAGGUCCUUUGAGAACUGAGUUCAAAGGUUCUCUACAGCUUCCAUUUACUUUGGCAUAAGAUUUAACAGAAAAAGAAUUAAGGGAGAAUUUAUAUGGGCCAGGCUGUUUUCCAAAUCUCAGACUGCUAAAAGUUAUUUAGAAUUUGCUUUAACUUGCAAUCCUAUGUAAAGUGGUUCAGAUGUAAAUGCUUUCCGUGUGGCCUGAGGCAAUCUAGGUUUCCUCAAAUGCACAUGUGCCAUUCGAAUAUUAAAGAUUUUGAUUGGAAAUCUCAAAGUACAUUGGGUUCCUCUUGAUUAGAGACUGCUGUUACUUUAUGCGACAUUGGGUCAGAGGAGGAGAAAUAAAACAUACUGCCUUCAUUUGGGCAUUAUAUUCUCACAGUAGCUCUAACAUAAACAAACUUCACAGGCUGAGAGAAGGGCAUUUGCUCCUUUAAAUUGAGUAUGUAAUGUAAAUAAAUGUCUUCUAAGAAAGGAUGGCUGAAACUUGAUUCUGAGUCUGAACCUAUACAAGGGCACUAAUUUAUUUUAAUGAAGAUCAGUGUGGAGCAUCUGUGGGAGUGCUUGCCUUCUUGAGAUCAGAGCUGGUCUGACCAAAGACGAUCCUUCACUGACUCAGAAAAAUGCCGCUUGGAACUGAUUAGUUCGCUGGCCGGGAGCAAACUGAUAUGUGCAUUUUUAUAUAGGACAAAAUGGAAGGAAUUACCAAAUCUCUUACUGUGUAAUCAAUGGCUGCCUACAGCUAUUUUCAAUUCUCUCUGAGGCAGUGAUUUUGUGACCAGCCAGGGUAGGACUAAAAACCCCUAACCCCAAAUUAAAAGUGAAUGGAGAGAAACUUCAGGCUGGCUGGGGCCAGAGCAAUUAAAUGCGUCCACAAGAAAGAAACUGAAAUGUAGUUUCUGGGGCAGGCUGAGGAGCCAGUCAGGAAGACAGAAGAUCCCCAGCUCCAACAUGACAUCAGGCAUUCUAUUCCAUUGGUGCCACUAUAGACAUCUGAAGCACUUGCAAACAUUCUUACAUAUUUGCUUGUUGUGGGAUAAUCUUUAGAGCAAAAAGGCUGGCCAUGUUCCGAAACGUUUAGGAAUACUUAGAGACAAUGAGCCAAAAGCAAUUCUGACAUCAAAAUGUUAACAAAAUCCAAAAAAGAAUGCUGGAAAAGUGGUUUCAGGUGCUCCCUGGAACAAGGUUUUUCUGCAUGAAAGAGCCCUACCACAAGUGCUGAUAAUCAACUGUGACUGCAUAAAGAGGUUCUUAAGCAGGUUCUUUGGUAUUGCAUGUUUCAUAUACAGGAAUCCUUGCAGCAUGAGAUUCUCUCUGGAGGAGCUGAAGGCAUUAUUAUUUGUGGCUAGCAAUACAUGUUAAAGAACAAGAUUUUUAUCUUUAAGCCUAGAUUCAUUAGCUGUCUAUCAUUCGGCUUUUGAAGACAUAUUAUGCUUUACCUUUUCCAAUAAAAAUAAAAUUAAUACAACUUUCCAUUAAUAGCUAUUAUAUUUCUCUCAUAAUGUAUUAUUAAAUAAAACUGUUCACUAAUUCAUACGCUUUCUGGAGUGAGGCAUAGUGAAUCUGAAAAUUAUAUUUGCUUUAUUCAAAAUUUCAUGUUGUGGCCAGGUGUGGUGGCUCACACCUGUAAUCCUAGCACUUUGGGAGUCCGAGGUGGGCAGAUUGUGUGAGCUCAGGAGUUCGAGACCAGCCUGGGCAACAUGGUGAAAUGCUGUCUCUACUAAAAAUACAAAAAAUUUGCCAGGCGUGGUGGCACGUGCCCGUAGUCCCAGCUACUCAGAAGGCUGAGGCACAAGAAUCAUUUGAACCCAGGAGGCAGAGGUUCCAGUGAGCUGGUAUCGCACCACUGAACUCCAGC